rnacentral:rRNA from 1 species
GACGAACGCUGGCGGCGUGCUUAACACAUGCAAGUCGAACGAAGAGCGAUGGAAGCUUGCUUCCAUCAAUCUUAGUGGCGAACGGGUGAGUAACGCGUAAUCAACCUGCCCUUCAGAGGGGGACAACAGUUGGAAACGACUGCUAAUACCGCAUACGAUCUAAUCUCGGCAUCGAGGAUAGAUGAAAGGUGGCCUCUACAUGUAAGCUAUCACUGAAGGAGGGGAUUGCGUCUGAUUAGCGAGUUGGAGGGGUAACGGCCCACCAAGGCGAUGAUCAGUAGCCGGUCUGAGAGGAUGAACGGCCACAUUGGGACUGAGACACGGCCCAGACUCCUACGGGAGGCAGCAGUGGGGAAUCUUCCGCAAUGGACGAAAGUCUGACGGAGCAACGCCGCGUGAGUGAUGACGGCCUUCGGGUUGUAAAGCUCUGUUAAUCGGGACGGAAGGCCUUCUUGCGAAUAGUGAGAAGGAUUGACGGUACCGGAAUAGAAAGCCACGGCUAACUACGUG